CAGCAGCCACGGUAAUACGGAGGGGGCAAGCGUUAUCCGGAAUUAUUGGGCGUAAAGGGUACGUAGGUGGCCUUUUAAGCGUAGGGUAUAAGGCAAUGGCUCAACCAUUGUUCGCCCUAUGAACUGGAAGGCUUGAGUGCAGGAGAGGAAAGCGGAAUUCCUAGUGUAGCGGUGGAAUGCAUAGAUAUUAGGAGGGACAUCAGCGGCGAAGGCGGCUUUCUGGACUGCAACUGACACUGAGGUACGAAAGCGUGGGGAGCAAACAGGAUUAGAUACCCGGGUAGUCCCUGUCUCUUAUACA
rnacentral:rRNA from 1 species